rnacentral:ncRNA from 2 species
AGGCUAACCAAUCAGUUCAGUGCCCAUCCACAUGGGAUGGGAUAAUAGGAAAUCGGGUGCAAAUCCCGAGCGAUCCGGUCACUGUGAAACGGGAGCGUCUCCGUAAAAGCGCCAUUGUCCGACGGACGAGAAGGCACGGAAAUGCUGUGAACGUAAGCCAGGAAGCCUGCUGAACUGUGCUGGUGGGA